GCUUGUCUCUCUCACAUUCUGCGUUUUGGAAGCUAAUCUGGUGGAAGCUUAGCAUCUACUCUUAUGAGACAUUUUUGCCUUCUGCUUGAUUGAAGUUUUAAAAGGAGAAAGAAUAAAAAAAUAUUUUUUAUAGGAAGCCACUUCCUAUAUUUCAUGAAAAGUGAAAACGCAUGGGGAUGGGCUUUGGCACUUUAGGUGACAUGGAAAGUGGUAGUAUUUUUUUCUUUCCUAAAAUACUCUUUUAAAAUCCAUAACUAAAAUUUAGUAAAAUAUCAAUAGAUGGUGAGGA
rnacentral:lncRNA from 1 species